ensembl:lncRNA HULC hepatocellular carcinoma up-regulated long non-coding RNA
GGGUAGAGACGCUAGGCCGGCACUGCCUAGGUGGGCCGGGCGGUGCGAGGGUCGCCUUUCAGCCUUUACCUCUACCCACUGAAAUGGAGUAGGUCGGUGAGCGCCGAUCUGCUGGAGAAUCUCAUUAUCCCAUCGGCGCUCUGCCUGCUCCUGGCCUCCAAGCCUCUGAAGCCCCUCGGGUUUCAGCUGCCGGCUACCCUCGAGCCCGUGGUGCCCACGAGAGAGGCGACUUUACGUCAGCGGCCCUGGGCUGAGAUUUGAGAACGCGACCAAGUGGAGAAUGUUGGAGCCAGAUUUUAAAAUCCUUGUCUUCCUUCUGCGUGCUACUUGAUCUAAAUGAGAUACGGCAAAGUCACAGAACCUGUUUUUAUGUUUUUGCCUGAUUCAUACGGGCUUCUCCGGUGAAGAUGGGCCUGAAGUAACGCUUGGGUUGCUUCUGACGUUAUAACUCAUCCUGUAGCUGCAGCAACCGUGGUCCUUGCAACCUCAUAAAAAUGUUGCCAGCAUUGUUUCGAUAGUGCUGCUUAAUUCUUGGAAGGCCUCUUUGCUUUCUUCCCUGAGGUUCUUCGGACUUCACACAUUCCAGCAGUAGCUCUCUCAGCUCCUGUCCUGCACAGCUUUGAAGUGCUGGUGAUGUCAUUGAACUCUUAAGUGCAAGAUGAAACAAGUCUUUCUGGGGUUCUAAGUAGUUUCUAGGGCUACAUGAAUCAUCUGAAGCCUCUUCCGGAUGCUAUAAGCAGCCAUGGAUGGGCGGAGAAAAGAUCCUUGGGCCAGCGUCUCCCUUAGGGUCCUUCCUGCCAUGAUAUUGUCGUCUUCAAAGUGUCUUCUGUAAAGACUUCUUCAGACUGUCAAUAGGAAGACUGAUAAACUCAGUUCAGAUGCGAGAGGAAAUCGAGUCAUCAUCAAUGGCACCUCAUGUUAGCCUGCCAUGGCAACAAGCUCAUUGAUUGAGUAAAAGAACUUUCAGAUGCACUAGCUGGUCUUUAACGGGUUGCUGAAAGCACAGAUAAGACGACUGAGGGAGCCGACUGAAUUUCCAUGGAUAUAUACAAAGGGAAUGGAAAAUCACAGUACGAUUUUUCAUUGGCUCCUGAUAGAGCUAGGUCCUUGUAUAAUUCUAAAACUGGUGUAUAAAACAAUGUCCACGCCAUUCAUUUUGGUUAUAACUAUUAAGGGGAAGGGAGAUGAUGUCUGUGGAAUUGCAAAGUAGUUUGCACUAGAAUUUUCUAUUACAUAUGCUCUAAUAGGAGUAUUUUCCUCUGUUACAUUAUGACUUAUGUAAUAAUAAUAGCUAAGGAUUACUGAGGGUUUUUAUUUUCUUUUCUGCAUGAUCUUGACCGUUUUUCGAAACAGUCCUUGUUGCUGGAUACUAUUUAUGUCACCAUUUUACAAAUGAGAAUGCCAAAGUUCAGAGUGACAUCCAUCUAAAAGAGGCCAGUUUCAGCCUUGAACCCAUUAUACUCUAAUCCCAUUUUCAAAGUAACUCUUGGUUUUCUCAAAAGGCCUUUAAAUGUAUGGAUAAGCCAAUAUGAGGGCAGCAAUGUUGUGGUUAAGUGUGUGCACUUUGGUUGGACUCUGCCGAAGGCCAGCACCACCAUUUAGUAGCUAUGUGAACCAGUGAGUUACUUAAAACCUAUACCUCCACUUCCUCAUCUGCAAAAUGGGGUUGUGGUAAGGCUGGAAUAAGUUAAUGCAUGUAGCAUGUUGAGAAGGCACUGUCUAAGCGCAUGGCACAUGGUAAGCAUGUAGGAAACAGCAACACAUGCCUGGGUCUGAGUUCUGCUCUGUCAUGAUGAUUGGUGCCCAACGGGAAAAGCUCUUCCGCACCAGCGUUUUACAAGCCUAGCUCCUCCUUUUCCAAAACAAGUUCCCAGGCCAUGGUCAAUAUCAACAUUCAGGGGAAAUACAUUCUGUUCAUUGUAGAUAUGACAGUGAGAAUAUUUGCUGAAUAACAAUUAAGCUAUCUGAUUGCGUAAUAGUUAAAAGGUUUGUUUUUACCAUCUGUGAAUUAAAGCCAAAAAUAACAACCAAUUCAUAGAAUAUUGUGACGGUUAUAGGAGAUGCAGCUUGUCAGCUGCUCAGCUCAGCGGCCUGGGCAUGAUUAGAAUUCCACACAUAAUAGUGAUUACCAUCAGUAUUAUUAUUAUUAAGGCAACACAGUGAUCGUAGUAAUGGUAAAACAGAGAGAUCUACCUAAUCCAAAAUUCUAUUCAACAAGGGAGUUUCUACAUAUAGCCACUAUGGUUUCUAAUUUUCAAAGAAUCAGCAUAUAAUAAAAUGCUCUCAAUAAUAAAGCUGAACUGAAUAUAUUAUAAUAACUUAAUGAGGCAGAAGACAUUUGAGAUGCCUCAAUUAUCAAUGUGUUUCACAGAUUCAAAAGUGUAACUUUAUACAUUUAUUCAAUAGAUAAAACACUGACUAGGUCCGCUUAAAGUUGAAAUAGAUUUUUGGAUUCUCUCAAAGUAUAGGGCAAUAACAAAUAUAGAAGUUUUCUGAAAAAAAAUAAGCAAAAUAGAAAUAGUACUAUUAUUAGUUUUAAAAUAUUAUAAAAGAAUUUUAAAUGAGACAAAAAUAAUAUGAUGGCAAUAUAUGGCCUUUUACAAAGAGAGGAACUGAGGCAGGGAGGAGAAAUAAUUCUAGAAUGACAUGCUGGUUAGAGGUAUGAUGUGUCGGACCACAAGAAUGAUGUGAUUCUGACUUUUCCUUUAUUUACAAAUCACUUUGGAUAAACCGAUGGCUCUUGCUGAGCCCCUGGGUUGGUGGAGGAGUAACAUGCCUGGGAGUCGAGCAUCCUAAGACGUGCACCCUGAGGACUGCAGGAAAAGUGCAGAAAUUAGGUAGAAAUAGGGCUUGUUUAGCAUUCAUGAUGGCUAGGUGUCUUACUGCAGGUGUCUUAAGAAACUACCCAGUAACUCACUGAACCAGCAACUCUGUGCAUGGCCUCCUGAGAGGUGAGGGACACAAAGAUUUUAUCAAGAGUGAAGCAUGUGUCUGUGUUCAAGUAUCUUGCAAAAUGAAGACAAAAGAAGUAGUUUGCAAUUAGCUCUUAGUUCCUACCUUUCAAAGAAGCAUCCGCCAGUCAGGUGAGAUGAAACUGACCAUGAAGAGAAGCUUGUAUCUGUAUAAAAUGCAAACCUGUUUGGACAGCGGAAUGGGGUUUGCUUCAAACUUCAGGGUGCAUUUAUAUAAAGCAACAGAGAGUGCACUUUCUAAUAAAAAUAAAAUGAAGCUCAAAUGGCACAAGAGUCUCCUUAUAUUUAAAAUGGUUCUCGUAAAGUAACAUUUUGAUGAUUUAAAUGGAAAUGAAUCAGAACAUAUAGAUUAAAUUUCCUUGAAAAACA